rnacentral:rRNA from 1 species
AGAGAGAGACAUGCGCGCAUAUCAAUAAGCGGAGGAAAAGAAACUAACAAGGAUUCCCUUAGUAACAGCGAGUGAAGCGGGAAGAGCUCAAAUUUGAAAUCUUCAAGGUUUUACCUUGACGAAUUGUAGUUUAAAGAAGUGUUUUCUGCUGAAGUUUUGGUAAAAGUUCUUUGGAAUAGGACAUCAUAGAGGGUGAGAAUCCCGUAUUUGACCAUUAUUUUCAGCUUUGUGAUACACUUUCAAAGAGUCGGAUUGUUUGGGAAUGCAGUCCAAAAUGGGUGGUAAAUUUCAUCUAAAGCUAAAUAUUGGCGAGAGACCGAUAGCGAACAAGUACCGUGAGGGAAAGAUGAAAAGAACUUUGAAAAGAGAGUUAAACAGUACGUGAAAUUGUCAAAAGGGAAGCGUUUGACACCAGUGUUGUUUUCUCGAAAAUCAAUUAAAAAUGGCUCGAUUUUGUAUUGCUUGAGACCUUAAAAGCUCACUGUACAUUUUUCGUGUCUUUUUUAAUGCACUUUUCGUUUAACAAGUCAACAUCAGUUUCUUUUGUUGUAAAAGGGUCAUUGGAAGGUGGCUUUCUUUUCGGAGAAAGUGUUUAUAGCCUUUGGCCUCUGCAAUCGGAGAGACUGAGGUCUGCAGCGUAGACUCUUCGGGGUUAGAUACAUUUGUGCUAAGUUAUAGCUUUUUAUAGACAACUUGUUGACUAUAAUUAGUCUUGUAGCUUACUCGCUUAUGCUAUUUUACCUACGCUUAGGAUGUUGAGUCGUAGAGCACGCAG